rnacentral:ncRNA from 1 species
UUGGGAAGAAUGGGGCUACAUUUCCUAAUGCASGUCUCCGCCCACCCGUGANAAACGCCCUUAAACCCCUUAUAGGGACAAGGAGCUGGUAUCAGGCACGAAAAUCUGCCCAAAACACCUAGCUUUGCCACACCCACAAGGGAAUUCAGCAGUGAUUAACAUUGAAUAUUAGCACAAGCUUGAUKCAGUUAAAGUAAUUUUAGGGCCGGCUAAUCUGGKGCCAGCCGCCGCGGUUACACCAUGUGGCCCAAAUUGACCUCUAUCGGCGUAAAGCGUGAUUAAAGBAGUUGAACUAAAACUAAGCUGUGACACGCCUACUUCUAAKAAAAUCUAACACGAWAGUUACUCUAAUUUAACCAACUUGAHUUCACGACAACUGGGGAACAAACUGGGAUUAGAUANCCCACUAUGCCCAGUCGUAAACUUUUAAUUACAUCCGAAUUGCCANGGAACUAGNUGNGGNNNNGGNGUGCCCNAUUGNCUUGACGGUACCCAUAUCCCCCUAGAGGAGCCUGUCCUAUAAUCGAUAAUCCACGAUUGACCUCACCAUUUUCUAAGUUUAUCAAGCUUGUAUACCUCCGUCGUCAGCUUACCACGUGAGCGCUUAACUUAGUGAGCUUAAUGUUGUUUCACCCACACGUCAGGUCAAGGUGCAGUAUAUGUAAUGGAAAGAGAUGGGCUACACUUUCUACCCUAGAACACACGAAAAACUAAAUAUGAAAUCUAGUUAGAAGGCGGAUUUAGUAGUAAAAAGGAAUUAGAACGUCCAUUUUAACUCGGCACUGGGGUGUGUACACACCGCCCGUCACCCUCUUCAAAACAACAACAUAGUUUUUAACUAACUUAAACAAACCAGAAGAGGCAAGUCGUAACAUGGUAAGUAUACCGGAAGGUGUUCUUGGAAACGAAAUGUAGCUUAAUCUAAA